AAAAACCUGAAAAAGCAGGAGAUGCUGAUUUAGAUGACCUUCAAGAACGUGUGACGACGAACAUUGUCUCUCAUAAAAUGAAGCGCACGGUGGCCGAGGUGCUGGUGCCGGCCGUGCUGCGGCUGUACGCGCACAUGCGGCCGCGCGGCGGGCAGCUCGCCGCCUACCUCGUGCGCAUCGCCACCGACCUGCUCAACGACUACCGGCACGAGAUCGAGGAGCUGAUAGAGAACGACGAGGAGCUAGUGGAGCGCGUGCGGCAGUUCCAGGAGACCAUCGGGC
rnacentral:misc_RNA from 1 species